UGGCGACCGGCGCACGGUGAGUAACACGUAUCCAACCUGCCGAUGACUCGGGGAUAGCCUUUCGAAAGAAAGAUUAAUACCCGAUGGCAUAGUUCUUCCGCAUGGUAGAACUAUUAAAGAAUUUCGGUCAUCGAUGGGGAUGCGUUCCAUUAGGUUGUUGGCGGGGUAACGGCCCACCAAGCCUUCGAUGGAUAGGGGUUCUGAGAGGAAGGUCCCCCACAUUGGAACUGAGACACGGUCCAA
rnacentral:rRNA from 1 species